UGGGGUUGCCGCGCGCGCACCCGGCAGUGGGACCUGGAUAGCGCCGUGAGUUUCAGGGGCACUGUCCGGGGCCUCUUUAAGGAGUGCGCGUCGGGGGAGGAGGCGCACUUUGAGAAGGGGCUGGCCAAGGGGCAGGAGAACUUGAGUUAAGAAUUGCGCCGUUUCAGUUACCUGCGGUCAGCUGUGUCCUGAGGCAGAUGAUGCUCCUUCUGAUGAAAUGUCAGAAGGUCAGCGGGAGCCUAGUGCUAAAUCGCAGCGCUUACGUCAUUCACCUCACUUCAUCUCAUCACGUAGGCAUUUUAUCAUCUCACAUCAUCACAAGAGGAAGAAGCAAAGAAGAAAACAACAGAAAAACAAGCUCAUAUCAGAUUUUAUUUUGAAUGUUAAAUAUUUCCUAUGGUUCUGUGCCUUUUAGAUGUUAUGCCUAACGUCUAAGUAUGCCUAGUAAGAUGUUGGAAUGUAAGUAUAUCUCUUUAUGGUUUCAAAAUGUUUAAUCAACAACCAAGGCUGUAAAAAUGUUAAGGGUUUUGUACUUGUAAGGGUAAACUAAUGGCAGCAACAAAGGGUCCCCGCAUCUUAAAUUCAGUUACCUGGACUCUUUCUUUCUUGUGGCUCUGAUAUUCCUCUACAAUCUCACCGUUUUUUAACUGAAUCUAAGGAUCCUGAUUGUCAAGCAAAGGAAGGCAGCUAAACUGGAAGAUUCUCUGGGAAGAUUGGGGGGCGGGGCGUGUCAGGAUUAGAAGUGGUACACAGUCCAUCUGUCCACAUUCCAACGGCUGAGACUUAGUCAUAUGACCCCACCCAACUGCAAGGGAGGCUGGGAAAUGUAGUCCAGCUCUGUGCCCAGGAAUAAAAGGGAAAAGGGUUUGGUAUCUACCUAGCAUGGUCCUUGUCACAGUAGUGACAUAAAAUCUUGAGAUUUCAUGGCCCUUCUGAUAUUGUGAAACAUCUAAGAAACAUCUGAUUAUCAUCUAGAUUAGAGGUUUCACAAACCUGAGUCAUUAAAGAAUAUCUCUGGAACUUCAUUUAGACCUACACAGAAUCAGAGUGAGAGUGGGGUGUGGGGGUGGAAGCAGGCCAGGAAUCUACAUUUUUCAGAAGCUCUCCAGGUGAUUUGGAUAUAGCCAGUCUGGUGCCAGUUUGGAGUUUGGAAAUGACUAAUCUCAAUAAUGCACUAAACAAGCAGGAAUAUGUAUUAAUUCAUUGUAGGAAGAUUUUUAGCAAAAAGGACUAAAAAAAGAGUGAUGUUUAAUUACUUAGUAAUGUAAGUGAACUCAAGCUUCCUAUUUAUACCAACCAUUCUAAUUAGUCAGACUUCAGACAUAUUCAGUGGUCAGUUGUUUUGAAAUUCCAUAGAGUGCUGCAUAAAUCCCAGUGAAAAGCCUCCUGUAUGAGGAGAGCCAUCCUGGGUAUUGGGGAAACUUGCCACUUGUGUUUUAUUAUAAUUAUAAAUAAAAAUUUUUUUCCAUGUCUCAUUUCAACCUAUUUCACCCUCCUAGCAAACACCAUUAUAGAUUCCUGGUUACCUAAACUGUACCACUAGAUGUGAAGGCAGUCGUGGUAGUAAAACUGUUUUUCUAAAGCAAGCAGUCAUUGGGUUUUAAACAUAAAAUUGUGUGUUUUCUGUUUUCAUUUUUAAGUAUAUGAAGUUGCCAGUUUGUCUGUUUGUUUUUAACACACAGAUUCCUGAUACGAAAUUUUCUGCUUCAUGUAAAUCUUUACUAGUGUGUGGCUUUUGAAGGAUAAAGGUAACCUCUCGUAACCAAUAAAUGUUGCAGUGGUGAAAUUGGUCUCGUCAGUUUUGCAGGGCUAUUCCGUGGUUACUACCCCAAGUGACAGUGGGAGUGCCCAGGGUGAUAUUUCAGGUUUACUCGUUUGUAUUGCCAUCAGGUUGGAUUUAUGAAAGAUAGAGGAAAUUUAUCGCCCUUCUGUGUUAUUCCAAAGCCAUAAUUUUCUAGUCUCUUGGUUGCUUGUGAACAUUUCUGAUAAAACACAUACCACUCUGAAUCUUUGUAACAUGGAUUUGUUUAAGAUCUUCAAUUAUGCAUUGCUGUGAUCCAAGCAGAGGAUGAGAAGCCUCAGGCUGCUGCACUCCCAUACUGAGGGUAGCCUUGCAAACCAUUCUGUACAGAGCUCUAAUCAUAUUAUCUUUACAAUUAUUCUAUCUUGCCUACCUAAUAACUCCCACCUUCCUUAGCCUUGCAUUCAAGCACCUCAUAAUCUGAACUCUAGUUAAAAUUGCUGGAGAGCUUUCCAGCCACUUAGCCUAUAGGAUCCUUACCCGAAAUCUCUACACUAGCCAAUUAGUCAUCAUCCUACAGAACACCUUGAGUUUCCUGCCCCUUUAUCUUUGCACCUCGUUAUUUCCAAACUCUGUCUCUUCCCAAAUGAAAUUCAAUCCAUUUUUUAAAAUUCAGUUUGAAAUUCCACAGAAUCUGAAACCUUUCCUGUGCAAGUUAACUAUGGCAACUGUUGCCUGCAUAUACCGUGAACCAUGAUGCAUUUAGUGUGGGAUGUAUGUUAGAUUUUUUACUGGAGUGUAAGCUCCUGGAGAUCAAAGAUCCUACUUUCUUCAUCUCUUGUUCUUUUUAGUGCUUUAACCACAGUGAGAAUUUGGUAACUAACCUUCAUAGUAAGUAGCGUCAGUUGAGGAUUAUAAAUGCACAGUGAAAACCCAACCUGAGACUAUUGAUUUAGAGCAUAGUUUCCCAAAGUGGAAUAGUAAUAUAAGUUACUUUGGGAAAAAGUAUUUGGUUAUAUUUAUAUAGAUUACUUUAUUGCAUGGCUUUUUAGAGCCUUUAAUAUGCUUAUAGAAUGUAAUAUGUUAACAUAAAUAUCAAAGAGAGAAUAUAGUAGGCAUCGCAUUUCAUGUUCUUUUGACCACAGAGCUCUUUUUUUGUGUGUGUGAAGCAUAUAUUGAUGAAUCAGGGUUUUUAGUAACUCAUUUUGGGAAAUACUGACUUGAAGUGAUAUUCUGCAUUUUCAUAAAACCCUUUGUUAUCAAAAGUAUUUUCACCGUUAAAGUCAUCCUCAUUUUCUCUAAUGACUGCUCGUAAGAAAACAAAAUGUAGUUUGUACUCCUAGACAUAAUUACUUUGGGUAUUGUGUGUAUGUGUGUUUAUAACUGCCAAAAUUCAUCAAAUAUGCCACUUGCUUUAGCUAAGAGGUAUAGAUCAGGAAAAAUCUUGGUUAUUUAAAUGAAACCUGUAAUAAGACAUGCAGCUGAGGUCUUUCUCUGGUCCCACAUCUCCAAAGAGAUAUGCAAAGGCCUUUGCCUUAGUAGUAAUUUUCCUGAAGGUCACUCACUACUUAGACUGUUUAUGUAAAUCUCCGUUAAUUGAAGCUUCAUUUAAUGAUUUGCUGAAUGUAACGUCAACAAUGAGUUUUUUUCUCCUCUCCUCCUCCUCCUCUUCUUCCUUCUUCUUGCCAUUAUUGUUUAUCUGUUCCACACCUUCUUUCCCUGGACACAGAUUAAAAAAAAAAAAAUCAGGUCAUCAUUGUGUGUAGAUUUCUCUCCUUUAAACAAGGUCUGUUAUCGUCAGCGAUCAUUUGUCAGGGCUGUGAUCUCGUGUACAGUGGGUGAGACCAGAUUGCAGCGCAAGAGGUACCAAAGGAUCUUUUAAGUUGAAAUUAAACCUAUGAUUUUUAUGAACUUUGGAGCGCCUAAUUAAGCGAUUAGUAACAAGCAGGAGUUUCCAAAUGUCAAGUAUAUAAUUAUGAAACAAACAAGAGCUGGUUUUUCCAAUAAACUUCUGUGCUGUGCCCCAUUACCUCUUGAUGGGCCCCAAAGUCUUCCGGUGAAGGGCAUAAAAUAUGGAUGGAUUUCCAGUACUGAUACUUAGAAAUCUCAUCCUCUGGCGCAUAAGUACAUAGGGUAAGAAUAAGUUUGAACCUGGUAAAUUGGUGGAGGAGCGUUAAUUUCAUCUUUCAAAUCACAUGUUAUAAAGAAAUUCCAUUUCAUUUCAUUUUUGUCUUUAUUUUCCUCCGUUCAGCCUCUGUUGCUGUUAAACUCCAUAACCAACAUUUCCCUCUCAUUUUAAAAUUCAAAAUAGUUAAUUUUUAGCUUAUGCAUGAAUUAAAUUUGGUGGGAGGUGGGAAGAAGGGAGCUGUGAAGAUGUCAGACAUUAAUAUUUAAUUGAGUGUAGAAUCUCUGAUGUUAGGGUUAGAGAAGUGAGUAGCCUUUCAGACUAUGAAAUACAAAGUUAUUCAUUUUUUAAGUCCCCCCCUCACUACUUACCCUCAGUGUUUCUGUACAGAUAGUCAGUGUUUGACAAAUUCUGACAGGUUUUAGCCAAUCAAAUAUUAGGAUCUGUUACAUGCUAGGGAGAGUGGCAGACACAAAGAAAACAGAAGUUCUGAUCUGUGCUUCUGAGAAGCUUAAAAGAUUAUUUAGGAAGCAACAUAUAUACAAAGUAGAAAAAAUUAGUGUUUUUAUGAUUAAAAUUUUUUGUCAUUUGCUAUGCAAGUAAUACAUAAAUCCAUCCUUUUACUUAAAAAUAUAAUGCACAUACCAUUUACUUUUCUCUCAAAUAGGUACAUAUAGAGGUAAGUGGAUAGGUAGGUAGAAAGAUAGAUGUAGUUCUUUUCUCCCCUAGUAUGCCCUUGUCCUUACGGUCCAGUGUGGCUGCUGGAGUUCCAGAGUCCCACCUGAAUUCUAGGCAGUGGGACUGAGGAUAUGGAAGAGGAAGGUGUACCUUUUCUUGAUCAACUAAAAUUCAGUCCUGUGGCCAUAAUUAGUUGCAAAGGAGGCUGGGAUAUGUGUGUGUUUUGUUUUGUUUUUAUCUUUUUUAAGUUAGGCGGCAGUAGGCCCAGCUAAGGAUUAGAGUUUUUUAUUUUUUUAUAUAUAUAUAUUUUUUCAACGUUUUUUAUUUAUUUUUGGGACAGAGAGAGACAGAGCAUGAACGGGGGAGGG